rnacentral:piRNA from 1 species
UUCCUGUGAGGGAACCUGAAGCCUCAAAGU